AUGUUCACCUCACCAACGUGGCUGUGCAAAAAACAUCUCCCGACUACCACCCAAAGAAGGUGGCUCCUGGAGGUCAAUGCGUCCCCAUCACUGACAGCCAGCAGCCAGGAAGACUAUGAGCUCAAGACCUGCCUCCUGGAAGACACCCUGCAUGUUGUGGACAUGGAAGCGAGAAGUUUGAGGGCUGAUUCUCCUUGCUGGUAACUGGGACACAUUCCCAUUCCUAAACCACUCACUGUGACUCUGCUUGACCAGGCUCACGGGAAGGGAGAAGCGAGUCGGGGGCUUUGACCUCAUGUGGAAUGAUGGCCCUGUUAGCAGAGAGGAGGGGGCUCCUGACCUGUCGGGAAUGGGAAACUUUGUGACCAACACACAUCUCGGUAUGUAGGGCCAGGUGGGGAGUGGGCACAAGGGAUGGGGUCAUGGGAGGUACCAGGUAGUCUAGGAGGCAGCUUGGGAUAGUGGUUAGAUUGUUUGAAUUCAAUCUGCAACUUACCAGCUGUGUGACCUUGGGCAAGGGACUUAACCUCUGUUCCUCGUUUUUAAACUUGGUUUCUAAAAAGUGAAAACUUUCCCUGAUUAUAAAAAAGGGAUUCACACUCAUUGUAGAAUAUUUGAAAACUAGAGAAAGAAAUAAAAACAUCCAGACAUAAGCAUCUUUAACAAUCUGGUGUAUUUCCUUCCAGUUCUUAAAAAAUGCAUAUAUUCAUACUUUUUCUUUUAUAAAAUUGGCAUUGGGCUAGAGUUUUGAAUCCCUCUUUUCCCCUUGGCAUUUUUCAUUCAAGCAUAUUAAGAGCCUCCCUCUUGAAUGCACUUUUUGGUCCAGUCCGGAUGAAAUCUUUUACAUACAUUAUCUCAUUUUAUCUUUAAGGAGUUUUUAUUGUCAUUUUACAGAUGAGGAAAUGAUAUCCAGGUGCUAUGUAACUUGCUGAAUGAAGGUUUUGGCCAUAAGUGGUGAGCCAGGACUCAAACUCCCAUCUGCCUGGCUCCAAAACUUGAGUGCUUGUCCGCUAGACUCUCCUGCCUCUUGGCAGAGUUUAAAAAAAUUACCAUAUGGCUGCAAAAUAUUUCAGUUUGUACAUAUGCCAAAAUUUACUAAACCAAUUUCUUAUAAUUGGACAUUUGGCACAAUUGCAUUUUAUUUUUUUUUUACUUUUAUAAAUUAUACCAUGAUGAACAUCCUUUCACAUUAAGCUCGGCUGAAAUUCUGGCCAUUUCCUGAGGACAGAUUCCUAGAAGCAGAAUUAUUGGGCCAAAGGGAUGGGAUUAUUACAACCAAAUUUCUUUCCAGAAAGAUUAUACGAAUUUGUCAGAUUUGAAUUUUUAGAAAAAAGAAAUCUGUGCCAACUGGUGAGGUAAAACAUACUGACUCGUUGUUUUAUGUGCAUUCCAUUGAUUACUGGUGAGGUUUCCGUUUUUUAAAUUUGCAUUUCUUCUUUUGUAAGCUGUCCAUACUCUUUAUCCAUUUUUCUAUGGGUUGUUUAGUUUUCUAAAUGUAUAAGGCUUCAGAUGACUAUAUAACACUGUCCAAGCUUAAUUUAAUAUGCAUACAAUCACCUGGAAAUCUUGUUAAACUAUAGAUUGUGACUCCAUAGGUCUAGGGUGGGGCCUAAGAUUGUAUUUCUAACAAGCUCCUGGGUGAUGCUCUAUUGAUUAACCAUUGCUGUGUAACAAGCCCUCCCAAAACCUAGCAGCUUAAAGCAACUAUUUUAUUUGCUCAUCCUUCCUCAGGUCUCUCCUGGGGUCACUUAUAGGGCUGCAGGCACCUGGCAGAUUUACUGGAGACUUGAUGGUGUACGACAGCCUCAUUCAUAGGUGUGGGGGUUGAUACUGGCUGUCAGUUGGGCCUCUCUUUCCAUGUGGCCACUCGUCUUCCAACAGUCUGGCCCUGGCUUCUUCACGUGGUAGACUCGGGGUUCUAAGAGGGUGAGAAAACACACUGCAAAGCCUUUUGCGGCCCGGACUCAGAAGUCCCAUAAAGUCAUUCUGCUACAAUCAAAGCAUUUGCUGGUGUAGCCCAGUCACUGGGUAAGAAAAUAGACCCCACCUCGCCGGGCGCGGUGGCUCACGCCUGUAAUCCCAACACUUUGGGAGGCCGAGGCGGGCGGAUCAUGAGGUCAGGAGAGCGAAACCAUCCUGGCUAACACGGUGAAACACUGUCUCUACUAAAAAAUACAAAAAAAUUAGCCAGGCGUGCUGGCGGGCGCCUGUAGUCAGCUACUCGGGAGGCUGAGGCAGGAGAAUGGCGUGAACCCGGGAGGCGGAGCUUGCAGUGAGCCGAGAUUGCGCCACUGCACUCCAGCCUGGGCGACAGAGCGAGACUGUCUCACACAGAAAAAGAAAAA
rnacentral:lncRNA from 10 species